AAAAAGCUGCAAGAAUAAGAUUAGUAAAAAGAACACCCAAAUACCUUUAGGGCAGAUUCACCCCUCACUGACGUUUGGUCCCAUCUCUCUUUGUUCUCAGUCUCUUUCCGCAUAACGCGCACACGCAGGCGUGCAGAUGCACGCAGCACGCACGCACAGACGCGCACAGACGCACACGUGCAAGCAUGUGCGCAGACACGCAUAGGCGCGCGCGCGCACCUUUUCCCCGAAGCGCUCGUGGGUAAGUUAUAUGCCUUUUACCCCGAACUACUUCAUCAAAUCGCCUAAGACGAGGGAGACUCUAUUUUCAACUUCAGUAACUUAACACUAUACUUCUUAAGCGCCGACCGCGUGGCAGACCCGAGUCCAG